GAUGAACGCUGGCGGCGUGCCUAAUACAUGCAAGUCGAACGCUGGAAAUCUAGCUUGCUAGAUUGAAGGAGUGGCGAACGGGUGAGUAAUACAUAAGCAACCUACCCACGAAGACUGGGAUAAUCUCUGGAAACGGGGACUAAUACCGGAUAGGUAAUCGGAAGGCAUCUUCUGAUUAUUAAAGGUUAAAAACACUGGUGGAUGGGCUUAUGGCGCAUUAGUUAGUUGGUGAGGUAACGGCCCACCAAGACGAUGAUGCGUAGCCGGCCUGAGAGGGUGAACGGCCACAUUGGGACUGAGACACGGCCCAGACUCCUACGGGAGGCAGCAGUAGGGAAUUUUCGGCAAUGGGGGAAGCCCUGACCGAGCAACGCCGCGUGAGUGAUGACGGCCUUCGGGUUGUAAAGCUCUGUUGUAAGGGAAGAACGGUAGAUAGAGAAUAUCUAAAUGACGGUACCUUACCAGAAAGCCACGGCUAACUACGUG
rnacentral:rRNA from 1 species